GACGAACGCUGGCGGCGUGCUUAACACAUGCAAGUCGAACGGAAAGGCACUGCUUGUGUGGGGUUCUCGAGUGGCGAACGGGUGAGUAACACGUGAGUAACCUGCCCUUGACUUUGGGGUAACUUCAGGAAACUGGGGCUAAUACCGGAUAGGAGCUCCUGCUGCGUGGUGGGGGUUGGAAAGUUUCGGCGGUUGGGGAUGGACUCGCGGCUUAUCGGCUUGUUGGUGGGGUAGUGGCUGACCAAGGCUUGGACGGGUAGCCGGCCUGAGAGGGUGACCGGCCACAUUGGGACUGAGAUACGGCCCAGACUCCUACGGGAGGCAGCAGUGGGGAAUAUUGCACAAUGGGCGGAAGCCUGAUGCAGCAACGCCGCGUGCGGGAUGACGGCCUUCGGGUUGUAAACCGCUUUCGCCUGUGACGAAGCGUGAGUGACGGUAAUGGGUAAAGAAGCACCGGCUAACUACGUG
rnacentral:rRNA from 1 species